rnacentral:rRNA from 1 species
GACGAACGCUGGCGGCGUGCUUAACACAUGCAAGUCGAACGGAAGGGCCCUGCUUUUGUGGGGUGCUCGAGUGGCGAACGGGUGGGUAACACGUGAGUAACCUGCCCUUGACUUUGGGAUAACUUCAGGAAACUGGGGCUAAUACCGGAUAGGAGCUCCUGCUGCAUGGUGGGGGUUGGAAAGUUUCGGCGGUUGGGGAUGGACUCGCGGCUUAUCAGCUUGUUGGUGGGGUAGUGGCUUACCAAGGCUUUGACGGGUAGCCGGCCUGAGAGGGUGACCGGCCACAUUGGGACUGAGAUACGGCCCAGACUCCUACGGGAGGCAGCAGUGGGGAAUAUUGCACAAUGGGCGGAAGCCUGAUGCAGCAACGCCGCGUGCGGGAUGACGGCCUUCGGGUUGUAAACCGCUUCCGCCUGUGACGAAGCGUGAGUGACGGUAAUGGGUAAAGAAGCACCGGCUAACUACGUG